rnacentral:rRNA from 1 species
AGUGAACGCUGGCGGCAGGCCUAACACAUGCAAGUCGAACGGCAGCACAGUAAGAGCUUGCUCUUACGGGUGGCGAGUGGCGGACGGGUGAGGAAUACAUCGGAAUCUACUUUUUCGUGGGGGAUAACGUAGGGAAACUUACGCUAAUACCGCAUACCACCUACGGGUGAAAGCAGGGGAUCUUCGGACCUUGCGCGAUUGAAUGAGCCGAUGUCGGAUUAGCUAGUUGGCGGGGUAAAGGCCCACCAAGGCGACGAUCCGUAGCUGGUCUGAGAGGAUGGUCGGCCACACUGGAACUGAGACACGGUCCAGACUCCUACGGGAGGCAGCAGUGGGGAAUAUUGGGCAAUGGGGGCAAGCCUGAUCCAGCCAUACCGCGUGGGUGAAGAAGGCCUUCGGGUUGUAAAGCCCUUUUGUUGGGAAAGAAAAGCAGCAGGUUGAUACCCCGCUGUUCUGACGGUACCCAAAGAAUAAGCACCGGCUAACUUCGUG